GCCCCGGUAGUAUAGCCCGGUCUAGUAUAGGUGCCAUAGGCACCGCUCAAGCGGGCCUGUCGAGCCCGUGACCCGGGUUCGAAUCCCGGCCGGGGCGCCA
rnacentral:tRNA from 1 species